GUCCAUCUAUCCAACUGAUUAUCAACUUCCAAUCAAGCACCAGCAGAUCAAACAGUGGACAACAGAUCAAAUGUCAGAGCCUUAUAUAUGGAAGGUGCCCUUUUGUCCAUCAGUUGGCUUCAACUCAGAGCAGCAAUGGAUGUCAUGGGAAUGUGCAACUAUAAUUCUUCCAAACUGACAUGGAGACAGAUCGAUCAGAGUGUGUCCACAACAGAGGUGGGACACUUGAUUGAGUUUGCAAACCCAUGGUUGGGUUGGCUCUUUGGAGUGUUUAUAUGGGAGAAGGCCAAGUUUUCCAUUUUGGGUGUGGAAAUGAAAAUGUGACGCAGAAAGCAUGCCGCAGCUUCCUCCAGAUGAUGAUUCCAAAGUUGAGCAACGACAGCAUUGUGAAGAAGACCAGAAUUCGCACGCAUUACUGAGAUCAAAGUGCCUCAAGAAACCCAAAUCAGGGUUGUCAACAACUACAAACACCGAGACAAUAAGCUGUCACUGUCAGAGUUUCCUGCACCAGGAGUUGAAAUAUGACCUGGUGAAUUUCAACAGUGAGCAUUUUGCCACUUUUGUUCAAUACAGC
ensembl:lncRNA